GAAUGUUUUGCGUUAAUAUGUUUGUAGUUCGUUUUUUCGUUUAAAAACGAACUACAAACAUAUUAACGCCAAACAUUU
rnacentral:pre_miRNA from 1 species